rnacentral:rRNA from 1 species
UACGGAGGGUGCGAGCGUUGUUCGGAAUCACUGGGCGUAAAGCGCGUGUAGGCGGCCCACUAAGUCUGAUGUGAAAGCCCGGGGCUCACCCCCGGAAGUGCAUUGGAAACUGGUGGACUCGAGUCCCGGAGAGGAGAGUGGAAUUCCUGGUGUAGCGGUGAAAUGCGUAGAUAUCAGGAGGAACACCUAUUGCGAAGGCAGCUCGCUGGGACGUAACUGACGCUGAGACGCGAAAGCGUGGGGAGCAAACAGG